rnacentral:sRNA from 1 species
UUGCAUAGCAUGAGAGCCGUAUCGGAGAACAUGUGCCACUGUUGAGAAGCCCUUCAUAUGUGGUGAUAUUUCACUUUUAACUCCCUUAUUUUCAUUCUUUUAAAAGAUAAUUUUAACUGCUUAGACCUUUGCCAGACCUGCAUUCAUCAUUGGUUUAGAAAGAACUAUGUACUUUUCUCCUCCAUCCUCUUCUGAUCUGCUUACUGAUUGAGUGCCUGUUGUAAAACAGUAGGAAAUCACAGAGCAUCUGGGGGAGGAGAUGUAAGAAAAACAAUAGAUGACUUAAAAAAAGUGAUGAAAAAUUUUGAAUCCAGAGUUGAAUUCACGGAAGAUUUGCAGAAAAUGAGUGAUGCUGCAGGUGAUAUUGUUGACAUAAGAGAAGAAAUUAAAUGUGACUUCGAAUUUAAAGCAAAACACCGAAUUGCUCAUAAACCGCAUUCCAAACCAAAAACUUCAGAUAUUUUUGAAGCAGAUACUGCAAAUGAUGUGAAAUCCAAGGAUUUGCUAGCUGAUAAAGAACUGUGGGCUCGACUUGAAGAACUAGAAAGACAAGAAGAAUUGCUGGGUGAACUUGAUAGUAAGCCUGAUACUGU